rnacentral:snRNA from 1 species
UUGCUUCGGCAGCACAUAUACUAAAAUUGGAACAGUACAGAGAAGAUUAGCAUGGCCCCUGCCCAAGGAUGAAAAAAAACACCCUGUCAGCUCCCAGUAAAG